rnacentral:pre_miRNA from 1 species
CGAAAGUCUUGAUGCAAUUUUAGCAAUUAAAGUGUAAAAAUGCACUAAGACUUUUAGG